rnacentral:rRNA from 1 species
CAGCAGCCGCGGGAAUACGGAGGGUGCAAGCGUUAAUCGGAAUUACUGGGCAUAAAGCGCACGCAGGCGGUCUGACAAGUCAGAUGUGAAAUCCCCGGGCUUAACCUGGGAACUGCAUUUGAAACUGUCAGGCUGGAGUCUUGUAGAGGGGGGUGGAAUUCCAGGUGUAGCGGUGAAAUGCGUAGAGAUCUGGAGGAAUACCGGUGGCGAAGGCGGCCCCCUGGACAAAGACUGACGCUCAGGUGCGAAAGCGUGGGGAGCAAACAGGAUUAGAUACCCCUGUAGUCCCUGUCUCUUAUAC